CUACGGAGGUUGCGAGCGUUAAUCGGAAUUACUGGGCGUAAAGCGUACGUAGGCGGUUGGUUAAGUUAGAUGUGAAAGCCCCGGGCUUAACCUGGGAACUGCAUUUAAAACUGGCGAACUAGAGUUGAGUAGAGGGGAGUGGAAUUUCAGGUGUAGCGGUGAAAUGCGUAGAGAUCUGAAGGAACACCAGUGGCGAAGGCGACUCCCUGGACUCGAACUGACGCUGAGGUACGAAAGCGGGGGUAGCAAACGGGAUUAGAAACCCUAGUAGUCC
rnacentral:rRNA from 1 species